rnacentral:RNase_P_RNA from 1 species
GCCUUCCACCAGGAGGAAAGUCCGGACAGCACAGGGCACCCCGCUGCGGAAAGCGCAGACAGGAGCAAUCUUGUGGACACCGUAACAGAAAACAACCGCAUCCUCGUGAUGCAAGGGUGAAAACGCGAGGCAAGAGCUCACGACGGAGUAUGGCGACAUGCUCCGGGUACGGUCCCGGGGGCUGCAAGACCAAAUAUACUGGCAGUAAAGGGUCGCCCGCCCGUUGCCAGGGGGUAGGUUGCGCAGAUAAAUGGCAGAUUCAAAAACAGAAACCGGCUUACGGUCCCGCCUU